rnacentral:rRNA from 1 species
UGGGCAACCUGCCCCUAGCACUGGGAUAACCCCGGGAAACCGGGGCUAAUACCGGAUACGACCUCCACGGGCAUCUGCGGAGGUGGAAAGGGUUUCCGGCUGAGGAUGGGCCCGCGGCCUAUCAGCUUGUUGGUGGGGUGAUGGCCUACCAAGGCGACGACGGGUAGCCGGCCUGAGAGGGUGACCGGCCACACUGGGACUGAGACACGGCCCAGACUCCUACGGGAGGCA